UUCUACUUCUAAUAAUGGACGAAAUAACGGCUGAGAAUACAUCAGAACUGAGACUGCAAACAGACCCACAGUCUUCGAAAGAGACUAAAGAGAAAAUACCAUGGCCAGCAUAUGCAGAGGCAUUCGAAGUGCAGGAAGAAUUGGAAAAUGAGAAAAAUUUAGCACUUUUGUGUAAAAUUUGUAUUGGAAAAAAAAUUAUACAUGCUAGCAGAACUUCAACAGCAAACUUAAGAAAAUAUUUAACUGCAAAACAUCAACAUAUAUUGAAAAGAAUAGUUGAGACAAAAGUUAAUUUGAAACGUCCAAAUAAAGAUGAAAAUGCCAAUAUUCCAAAUAAGUGUCAUGUAUUGGAAAGGUGGGGCUCUGGAAGCUCAAUGAUUACUCAAAAUAAAUUUGAUAAAGCUG